AACCAUCACAUACACUGUAUCUAUUGAAACCAAAUAACAAAAAAAGGCAACUAAACACAAAAGCGCUUAUUCGGACGCGCUUAUUCACAAGCUGAAAGGUUCUCAAGUCUCAUAUGGAGAUUGUUCUUAAAGCUCACAAUCGAUUACACAACGGUAACCAAUAACAUCGUCCAAAAUUCCAUACAUCGUCAUGGCAAAGGAAUCGAAGCGUAAGCAUAAGGAUUAAGAAUUACCUGGCGAAGAUGACGACGAAGGUGGCGACGAUGAUGACGAACACGAACACAGCUUCUAAACGCCUCUCUUCAUCUUCUCGCACUGUUGGAGUGAAUUGAAAGCAUGUGAGCGGUGACGUUCUUCGAGCUUCGAAGCUUCCGGCGGUGGAGGUGGCUUAGCUCGGCCGUGUAGAGCUUCGAGUGAUGAAGCUCUCACAGCAAUUGGAAAUGAGCGUGUACUGAAGGUGGGAGGGAAGCGAUUGCACGGUGCUUUUUCGAAUGAAGGGAAAAAUCUUCUCCUUCGUCUCUUUCUUGGAGCAAUUCUGGUGAGUUGUUGCUUGUUGAUGGUGAAGUGUUGAGGUUCAAGAAUUGAAUAGGUGAUGGAGAUUGGUUACGGUUACGGUGGUUCGGUGAACGGAGAUUGGUUGUGGUUGAUGAAGAGAAUGAAUCAACGAAGAAUCCAGAGUAAUUUCCGCGAGAUCUCGAACGAAUCUGUAUCCGAUCCGAAGUCCGGCCGAAUCGUAAGCUCCGAUGAUCCUUCUUCUUCUUCUCGUUCUUAGUUUGUUUUUCUGAAUUCUGUGAAACUCUUUUGGCUAUGGAGUUGUGGUUUUUGGUUUUUGCUACUUCUUCAAUCUCUCUUUCUGUUUCAUUCUUGGAAGGUUGCGUGUAGUUAAAAAUGGUGAGUGAAGAUUGGUGAGGUUCGAAUGGUUCAGAGUUGAGGGAAGGUUUGGUGAUUUGUGAAGAUGGAGAUUACGGUAACGGAUCCGUGGUGGUUGAAGAUUUGGCCAUGGAGUUCGGAGUUUAGUGAAGGUGUGGAUUGGAAGGUGAAGGUUGAUGUUGAAGAAGAUUAGGUGAUGGAGGAAGAAGAAGAAUCUGGAUCGUGAUGAUGAGCAUGGUUGAAGGUUAGUUACAGGUUGAAGAAGAAUCUGGAAAAGUUUGUUAGAGGUUGAAGGAUUGAAGGCAAAAACGAUUUUGGAAUGAGAGGGAAAAUUUUCUGAAAACCAAUGAUUGGCAAUGAUUGCAGCUUAUAUAGCAGGAUCUAAGGGGCAAAUUGGAGAAUUAAAUCUGAAAUGAUUCAAUCUGCACCAUCCAGCUGGCAUUAAGUGAAGGACACAUGCUGUCAUGGAAUUGGUAUUGCACAUCGUCCGCUUUGCAAUACAGCGGUCAAGCCAAGGAUUACAAAGGUUAGGCUUUGAAGCCUCAUUGCCGGUUGCAUUCGGAGUUUGUCCAAAAAUAACCUGCUGUGCUGGAUCGUGGAAAUUGCAGGAUGCGACACGCUCAUGCCGCUCGUACAACUCUCACUUUGUUGGACCGUGGCAGCUUCCAUACACAUAUAUAUGAUGGCAUCCUGACCUCCGAGUCAAUCACUUCCUUUGACAGUGUCAUACAUGUGCCACCUCCAAUCAUCUUCAGUCAUAUUUCCCGAUGCCGCAUUAAUGCCACCUUGAGCUGCAACAGUGCGUGAAUAGGUUGGGAAAAGCUUAGUAAUACAAACAGUAUUGAAUCCAUGUUCUGAAGGUCCAAUAACAACUCUCAAACUAGCACCACCAGCCCUUAACAUAAAUGCAUUAUGAUAAUGCUGGAGGCGUUGUAGAAGCGAGCCGGCAUCCUGAAAGUGAUUGAGAGAUCGUGGAUAUCCUUGACGUCCUGGGUAACACAUCCAUAGCCACCGCUUAGCUUCUACUGCACUUACUCUGACAGUGUUGCUGUUUCAAGUUGUUGCAGGUUUGCUUCAAAGCAUUGUAUGUAGCCUUUUCCACACAGUCUUUUCUUCUUGAGCUAAGCAGAACCUUCACAUAGUCCAAAAUUAGUAUUCUGUUUUGCUAGAGACUCAGGGAGCAAAGGUGACGGAUGCAAUCGAAUGACCUAUUCCUACUUGACCGUGUGCCGGCCAGUUUCCUUGCAGGCUGACGCAGAAUGACGGCAGGAUGGUUAUCAGUGAGUCUUAGACCAAACUCAUGAGCAUUCUUUCAUUCAAAUGGCAGAUGUAAGUGUAGUAUCAAAUCAUGUGACUGUGAGGCUUAGUUGUGGUGAACGCAAGAUCCUGUUAGCAGUGCAGCAUCAUGGUUGGAAAAAUCAAAAGACCAAGUCAUGGCAAGGUACACAUGAAGUUGAAAAUGAGACAAGUUACUUGGACAUGAAGAUACAAAGUCAAACCCAUCAAAAAACGACUCUUGGAUGAUAAAUCACGGGAAAAGAGCUAGAUUAGGCCUGAGAUGGUUAAAAAUGGAUGAGUUGACUUUGGUCAAAGUUGACCAAAAAGUCGACCGUUGACCAAAGUCAACAAUCGGUUAAAGCUUAUUUUUUUUGUAUUUUCCCUAAUGCUUGGACAUUUGUGAUGAAUUGUAAAUGAUUGUGAAUGAAUGUGAGAUUUUGACUUGA